AUUGAACGCUGGCGGCAGGCUUAACACAUGAAAGUCGAACGAGUGGCGGACGGGUGAGUAAUGCUUGGGAAUCUAGCAUAUGGAGGGGGAUAAAUAAGGGAAACUGUAGCUAAUACCGCGUACGAUAGGAUGAGCCCAAGUGGGAUUAGGUAGUUGGUGAGGUAAAGGCUCACCAAGCCGACGAUCUGUAGCUGGUCUGAGAGGAUGACCAGCCACACUGGGACUGAGACCCGGCCCAGACUCCUACGGGAGGCAGCAGUGUGGAAUAUUGCGCAAUGGGGGCAACCUGACGCAGCCAUGCCGCGUGAAUGAAGAAGGCCUUCGGGUUGUAAAGUUCUUUCGGUAGCGAGGCGUUAACUACAGAAGAAGCACCGGCUAACUCCGUGCCAGCAGCCGCGGUAAUUC
rnacentral:rRNA from 1 species